ensembl:lncRNA
GAAAAUGUGCUGCAGCCAAGGAGAUGAGCUGCAAGAAGUCAGCCUCUGUAUGCUGAUUUAUCUGUCUCCUUCACAGUGCAAAUUGUACACUUCCUCUCUGCUGCUUCUAAGGAAGACAAAUGCAUCUCUUUUUGUUGGUUUUGUAAGUUGGAGACCUUAGGAAAUGUGGUUUUGUUUUGCUUGGAGAGCAAAUCUUGUGCCAGACCAUGAAAUGCUCCCUUGCACCGCUCCUGCUGCUUCGCCCAUCCAGCAGCCUGGAAUGGGAUUUUCCAAGUAAAGCAUCACAAAGUCUGCACCUGGGAUACACAGCUCUACAAAAUGCACAUUCCCUGUGGUGCAGUUUGGACCCUCCAUUGGGGAUCUUGCAGGGACAUUUUGUUGGACCUUAGAGAAGUGCCUCAGCAACUCUUGAAUGCAACUGUAUGAGCAACACGACUACUGCAUGCUCAGCGCAGGCAGAAGAAGACUUCUGCUUCACAAUAGUUAAACAAGUCAAGGACGUAAUUCACAUCCUUUUAAGGUUGGAAGUGAAAAACAGACUACAGAAUGACAGGAGAAAGGAAAAUGCUGGUUUUCAUGGCUUCAUCACUGUUGAACAGAGCAGCCUUAGGUUGGGUCAUUUCUUUGUGCCGGAGGACUUUUCAAAGGAUGCUGAAGCUUUCAUACUACACGGCUUACAGUGCAGAUGGAACAGGACGUGUCGUUAUGUUUACUGUGUGUGGCUGUCAGUGCUUAGCAGUAAGGUGUGCUUGGUUAUUAGCAAUGUCUGGUUCCUGUAUCACGAACCCUACGCCUGCAGCUUUUCUCCUGCCUUUGCCUCUCAGCUGUGAAUUACUGCACUGGUGUGUCUGUGCUCAGGACUACCCAGAAGGAAGCACACAAGGCCCAUUUCUGGACUUCAUGAGCUACAAUGUUCGGUGCUGCACAGGUGAGCAUGGUGUGGACAGCAGCACAUGGAUGGGCAGGUCAGGGAAGUACCACAGGGAAGAGCACAGCAAUGCCUUCGAUUCCCCCAGGCUCUUCUCAUAACAUCCUAUGCAAAAUGUCUGCAACAUGGGGAUGUUGAGCAUAGCAAAAGCACAAGCACUAGCACUGCCAGUGGAAACACUUAUCUGGAAAGAAUGUUCUUCAUUGCACCAUUGGGGAAAUUAAAUCAAAUUAAGCCGUUUCAUUUGUUGGGGUAGGAGAUUAUUCCUCAUUGUGCCAGCAAAUUCUUUACUUGCCUCCAUAAGGAAUUCAUCCAAAGUCUGAAUUUUGAAUGGCUCCAAAAUAAAACUAAUUUAAGCAG